UUAGUACUCCCUCCAACCCAUAUUACUUGUCGAAAUAUUAUAUGUAUCUAGACGCUUUUUAAACAUAGGUAAAUCCAUAUUUCAGCAAUUUUGAGACAAGUAAUAUGGGUCGGAGGGAGUAUCAG
rnacentral:pre_miRNA from 1 species